rnacentral:rRNA from 1 species
UGGGGAAUAUUGGACAAUGGGCGAAAGCCUGAUCCAGCAACGCCGCGUGAGUGAUGAAGGCCUUCGGGUUGUAAAGCUCUGUCGGUUAGAACGAAUAAGGGACACCUAACACGUGUCCCGACGACGGUACUAGCAAAGGAAGCACCGGCUAACUCUGUGCCAGCAGCCGCGGUAAGACAGAGGGUGCAAGCGUUGUUCGGAAUUACUGGGCGUAAAGGGCGUGUAGGUGGUGGGGUGUGUUCGGUGUGAAAUCCCUCGGCUUAACCGAGGAAUGGCAUUGAUACUGUUAGUCUAGAGUACAGAUGAUGUGGGCGGAAUAUGACAUGUAGUGGUGAAAUACUUAGAUAUGUCAUAGAACACCGAUUGCGAAGGCAGCUCACAAAACUGUAACUGACGCUGAGGCACGAAAGUGCGGGGAUCAAACAGGAUUAGAUACCCUGGUAGUCCCUGAGCGGGCUGGCAAGGCGCAU